rnacentral:rRNA from 1 species
UACGUAGGGUGCAAGCGUUAAUCGGAAUUACUGGGCGUAAAGCGUGCGUAGGCGGUUUUGUAAGCCGGAUGUGAAAUCCCCGGGCUUAACCUGGGAAUGGCAUUCGGGACUGCAAGGCUGGAGUGCGGCAGAGGAGACUGGAAUUCCUGGUGUAGCAGUGAAAUGCGUAGAUAUCAGGAGGAACACCGAUGGCGAAGGCAGGUCUCUGGGCUGACACUGACGCUCAUGCACGAAAGCGUGGGGAGCAAACAGG